UACGGGGGGGGCGAGCGUUGUCCGGAAUUAUUGGGCGUAAAGGGCUCGUAGGCGGUUUGUCACGUCGGGAGUGAAAACUCGGGGCUUAACCCCGAGCCUGCUUCCGAUACGGGCUGACUAGAGGUAUGCAGGGGAGAACGGAAUUCCUGGUGUAGCGGUGAAAUGCGCAGAUAUCAGGGGGAACACCGGUGGCGAAGGCGGUUCUCUGGGCAUUACCUGACGCUGAGGUGCGAAAGCGUGGGGAGCAAACAGG
rnacentral:rRNA from 1 species